rnacentral:rRNA from 1 species
UAGAUCAGAAGCGAGAAUGUUGACAUGAGUAGCGAUAAAGAGGGUGAGAGACCCUCUCGCCGUAAGUCCAAGGGUUCCUGCUUAAAGCUAAUCUGAGCAGGGUAAGCCGGCCCCUAAGGUGAGGCCGAAAGGCGUAGUUGAUGGGAACCACGUUAAUAUUCGUGGGCCAGGAGGAAGUGACGGAUCUCGAAGGUAGUUUGCCCUUAUCGGAUUGGGUGGGCUGCUCAGAGGUUCCAGGAAAUAGCCCUCCAUCAGACCGUACCCUAAACCGACACAGGUGGACUGGUAGAGUAUACCAAGGCGCUUGAGAGAACCACGUUAAAGGAACUCGGCAAAAUGCCUCCGUAAGUUCGCGAGAAGGGGGCCCCAUAUCUGGGCAACCAGGUGUGGGGGGCACAAACUAGGGGGUGGCGACUGUUUACUUAAAACACAGGGCUGUGCGAAGCCGUAAGGCGACGUAUACAGUCUGACGCCUGCCCGGUGCUGGAAGGUUAAAAGGAGGGGUGCAAGCUCUGAAUUGAAGCCCCAGUAAACGGCGGCCGUAACAAUAACGGUCCUAAGGUAGCGAAAUUCCUUGUCGGGUAAGUUCCGACCUGCACGAAUGGCGUAACGAUCUCCCCGCUGUCUCUAACGUGGACUCAGCGAAAUUGAACUGUGUGUCAAGAUGCACACUACCCGCGGUUAGACGGAAAGACCCCAUGCACCUUUACUCCAGCUUUGCACUGGUAUCAGGAUUGUGAUGUGCAGGAUAGGUGGUAGGCAUCGAAGCGGGGACGCCAGUUCUCGUGGAGCCUCCCUUGAGAUACCACCCUUCGCCAUCUUGAUAUCUAACCGCGGCCCGUUAUCCGGGUCCGGGACCCUGCAUGGUGGGGAGUUUGACUGGGGCGGUCGCCUCCCAAACAGUAACGGAGGCGCGCGAAGGUAGGCUCAGACCGGUCGGAAAUCGGUCGUUGAGUGCAAUGGCAGAAGCCUGCCUGACUGCAAGUCUGACAAGACGAGCAGAGACGAAAGUCGGUCAUAGUGAUCCGGUGGUCCCAAGUGGGAGGGCCAUCGCUCAACGGAUAAAAGGUACGCUGGGGAUAACAGGCUGAUGAUGCCCAAGAGUCCAUAUCGACGGCAUCGUUUGGCACCUCGAUGUCGGCUCAUCUCAUCCUGGGGCUGGAGCAGGUCCCAAGGGUAUGGCUGUUCGCCAUUUAAGGAGGUACGUGAGCUGGGUUUAGAACGUCGUGAGACAGUUCGGUCCCUAUCUGCCGUGGGUGUAGGAGACUUGAGAAGAGUUGCCCCUAGUACGAGAGGACCGGGGUGAACGAACCACUGGUGGACCAGUUGUCGUGCCAACGGCAGUGCUGGGUAGCUAUGUUCGGACAGGAUAACCGCUGAAGGCAUCUAAGCGGGAAGCCCCCUUCAAAACAAGGUCUCCCUUGAGAGCCGUGGAAGACCACGACGUCGAUAGGCCGGAGGUGUAAGUGCAGCAAUGCAUUCAGCUGACCGGUACUAAUUGCUU